ensembl:sRNA
GACUCCGGUGGUGGCACUCCUGAUAUUACUCAGGACGGGGUUCAAUUCCCUGCGAGGUC